AGAGUUUGAUCCUGGCUCAGAUUGAACGCUGGCGGCAUGCUUUACACAUGCAAGUCGAACGGUAACAGGGAGCUUGCUCCGCUGACGAGUGGCGAACGGGUGAGUAAUGCAUCGGAACGUACCCAGUCGUGGGGGAUAACGUAGCGAAAGUUACGCUAAUACCGCAUACGUCCUGAGGGAGAAAGCGGGGGACCGUAAGGCCUCGCGCGAUUGGAGCGGCCGAUGUCGGAUUAGCUAGUUGGUAGGGUAAAGGCCUACCAAGGCGACGAUCCGUAGCGGGUCUGAGAGGAUGAUCCGCCACACUGGGACUGAGACACGGCCCAGACUCCUACGGGAGGCAGCAGUGGGGAAUUUUGGACAAUGGGCGAAAGCCUGAUCCAGCCAUGCCGCGUGAGUGAAGAAGGCCUUCGGGUUGUAAAGCUCUUUCAGACGGAAAGAAAUCGCAUCUUCUAAUACAGGGUGUGGAUGACGGUACCGUAAGAAGAAGCACCGGCUAACUACGUGCCAGCAGCCGGCGGUAAAU
rnacentral:rRNA from 1 species